CUAAUCAGUAUCAAAUCUACAGUGAGUCAUUCAAACAGCAUGACAUAACUGGCCGCGCUUUGCUGAGACUUACUGACAAAAAGCUUGAACGAAUGGGCAUUGCCCAGGAAAGCCUGCGACAGCACAUUCUGCAGCAAGUCCUUCAGCUGAAGGUGAGAGAAGAAGUCCGAAACCUCCAACUGCUUACACAAGGUACAGGACACAGCACCAAUAACUGGAAAUUACGCACCUGCCUGAAAAGGAACUUGAACAAUCAGAAAAUUUGA
rnacentral:lncRNA from 1 species